rnacentral:rRNA from 1 species
GAUGAACGCUGGCGGCGUGCUUAACACAUGCAAGUCGAACGAGAAGUGAAGACGGAAACCUUCGGGCGGAAGGCUUUAUUUCGAGUGGCGGACGGGUGAGUAACGCGUGGGUAACCUGCCUCAUACAGGGGGAUAACAGUUGGAAACGACUGUUAAUACCGCAUAAGACCACAGCACCGCAUGGUGCGGGGGUAAAAACUCCGGUGGUAUGAGAUGGACCCGCGUUCGAUUAGCCAGUUGGCGGGGUAACGGCCCACCAAAGCGACGAUCGGUAGCCGAUCUGAGAGGAUGACCGGCCACAUUGGGACUGAGACACGGCACAAACUCCUACGGGAGGCAGCAGUGGGGAAUAUUGCACAAUGGGGGAAACCCUGAUGCAGCGACGCCGCGUGAGUGAAGAAGUAUUUCGGUAUGUAAAGCUCUAUCAGCAGGGAAGAAAAUGACGGUACCUGAGUAAGAAGCCCCGGCUAACUACGUG